GCGACCCCAGGAUGGGCGAGCCACCCGCCKAGUUUAA
rnacentral:rRNA from 1 species